UCAAGUUAUGAAGGGCGCAGGGUGGAUGCCAUGGCACUGGACGCCGAAGAAAGACGUGGUAAGCUGCGAAAAGCCACGGGGAGCCGCAAGCAGGCUUUGAUCCGUGGAUAUCUGAAUGGGGAAACCCGGCGGAAGUAAUGUUCCGUCAUCCGUGAAUGAAUCCAUAGUUCACGAGAAGGGCACCCGGGGAACUGAAACAUCUAAGUACCCGGAGGAAAAGAAAGAAACAUCGAUUUCGUCAGUAGCGGCGAGCGAAAGCGAAGGAGCCCAAACCAUCCGACUACGGUUGGGUGGGGUUGUGGGUCAGCAACAUGUACGAUGAUGCUUAGGAGAAGAGUUCUGGAAAGGACUUCCAAAGAGGGUAAGAGGCCCGUAUCCGAAAAGUUGAAUCGGCUAGCUGAUACCAGAGUACCACAGGACACGAGGAAUCCGGUGGGAAGCAGGAGGGACCACCCUCCAAGGCUAAAUACGAUCCAGUGACCGAUAGCGCAUAGUACCGUGAGGGAAAGGUGAAAAGAACCCCGGGAGGGGAGUGAAAGAGAACCUGAAACCGUAUGUCUACAAGCAGUCGGAGCGAAAGCGACGGCGUGCCUAUUGAAGAAUGAACCAACGAGUUACGUGCACUAGCGAGGUUAAGUGGAAGACACGGAGCCGAAGCGAAAGCGAGUCUUAAGAGGGCGGAUAGUUAGUGUACGUAGACCCGAAACCGCAGUGAUCUACCCAUGUCCAGGUUGAAGCGCAGGUAAAAUUGCGUGGAGGACCGAACCUGUGAGCGUUGAAAAGCUUUAGGAUGAGAUGUGGGUAGAGGUGAAAUUCCAAUCGAACGCGGAGAUAGCUGGUUCUCCCCGAAAUAGCUUUAGGGCUAGCCUCAAGUAGUAAGUAUAGGCGGUAGAGCACUGAUCGGGCUAGGGGCCAUAAAGGUUACCGAACCCUGUCAAACUCCGAAUGGUUAUACUGUAGAGCUUGGGAGUCAGACUACGAGUGAUAAGAUCCGUGGUCAAAAGGGAAACAGCCCAGACCACCAGCUAAGGUCCCCAAUGUCGUACUAAGUGGAAAAGGAUGUGGGGUCUCUAAAACAACCAGGAUGUUGGCUUAGAAGCAGCCACCAUUUAAAGAGUGCGUAAUAGCUCACUGGUCGAGAGACCCUGCGCCGAAGAUUACCGGGGCUAAAGUACGAAACCGAAGCUGUGGCUACGACGUAAGUCGUGGGGUAGGGGAGCGUUCUGUGAGGGCUGAAGUCGUUCUGUAAGGAACGGUGGACUUCACAGAAGUGAGAAUGUUGGUAUGAGUAGCGAAAAGAAUGGUGAGAAUCCAUUCCACCGAAAGCAUAAGGAUUCCUGGGCAACGAUCGUCGUCCCAGGGUAAGUCGGGACCUAAUCCGAGGCAUGGAGCGUAGGAGAUGGACAACUGGCAGAUAUUCCAGUACCGGUAAUGAUUGUUUGAGCGAUGGAGUGACACAGGAGGGCAGGCAGGCAGGAGAUUGGUUGUUCCUGUACAAGCGUGUAGGAUGGGACGUAGGCAAAUCCGCGUCCUGUGAGUCUGAGGCGUGAUGUGGAGGUUCCGGAAACGGAACUGAAGCUGCUGACCCCACACUGUCGAGAAAAGCUUCUAGUUAGAGAAUUACCGCCCGUACCGUAAACCGACACAGGUAUGCGGGGAGAGAAUCCUAAGGUGCGCGGGAGAACCCUCGUUAAGGAACUCGGCAAAAUGUACCCGUAACUUCGGGAUAAGGGUAGCCGCUGUUGUGAAGUCUGAACAGACGGAGCAUGAGGCGGUCGCAGAGAAGAGGCCCAAGCGACUGUUUACCACAAACACAGGUGCCUGCUAAAGAGAAAUCUGACGUAUAGGUGCUGACACCUGCCCAGUGCCGGAAGGUUAAGGAAGGAUGUCCGGAGCAAUCCAAAGCAUUCGACCGAAGCCCCGGUGAACGGCGGCCGUAACUAUAACGGUCCUAAGGUAGCGAAAUUCCUUGUCGGGUAAG
rnacentral:rRNA from 1 species